CUCAAUAAAAAAUUACUACUUAACGAUAUUACUAAUAAGCUUGCGUGUGAGAAAAUGACGAUAACGCCGGAUGGAAUGGUGAAUUACAAUGUUGAACACUGAUUUAGAUAGUUAGUUACUUGGAUACCUUGAUUGACGUAAUAUUUUCUUUUCUUUUUGUUGUUGAGAGAGGAGAAACAAAAAAAAAUAAAAUACCCCGUUUGCAGAUAUAACCCCAACAACUACACCACACCAAUUAUAAUGCACCCAUGGAAGUUGGCAGAUCAUUGCAUAACAUAACAUUCAACUUAGGUGACUAAAACCAGAGUAGGGCACGUUACAUCUAGAACCAAAGAGUUUUUUCAAGCAGAUGCACCUUUGUCUUUUUUGUGUUUUUACAAAAAAAAAAAAUCGAAAAAAAUGAAAAAAAUGAAAAAAAUCUCUCAAUAUAUAUGAUAUAUACACAGCCUCACGACCAAAAAACAACAGGUCAGGAUGAAGAGCAGAGAAA
rnacentral:sRNA from 2 species